rnacentral:rRNA from 1 species
GAUGAACGCUAGCUACAGGCUUAACACAUGCAAGUCGAGGGGAAACGACAUUGAAAGCUUGCUUUUGGUGGGCGUCGACCGGCGCACGGGUGAGUAACGCGUAUCCAACCUGCCCACCACUUGGGGAUAACCUUGCGAAAGUAAGACUAAUACCCAAUGAUAUCCCACGAAGGCAUCCGAAUGGGAUUAAAGAUUUAUCGGUGAUGGAUGGGGAUGCGUCUGAUUAGCUUGUUGGCGGGGUAACGGCCCACCAAGGCAACGAUCAGUAGGGGUUCUGAGAGGAAGGUCCCCCACAUUGGAACUGAGACACGGUCCAAACUCCUACGGGAGGCAGCAGUGAGGAAUAUUGGUCAAUGGGCGAGAGCCUGAACCAGCCAAGUAGCGUGCAGGACGACGGCCCUAUGGGUUGUAAACUGCUUUAUAAGGGAAUAAAGUGGGUCACGUGUGACUUUUUGCAUGUACCUUAUGAAUAAGGACCGGCUAAUUCCGUG